GGACGAUCUGAUUUCCUCGUGUCAGCGUUGUUCCCACAUCAUCAUAAUUAAUGUUGUUCCAGGUUCAACAUUGCAAGUGACCAAUCACCUUCUUGUGACGUCAUUCCUUUGCGACUUCGAAAUACCCGCCUUCGAGUAUUUCGAAACACAAGUGAAGAAGCGAGAAACCGCCGCCUGUCCGCCGAAUUUGAAGUCAAUUCGCCUGUCCGCCGAAUUUGAAGUCAAUUUAGGAUACUUUCCUUUAAUAAACGAAAUGGACGAUAUAAUUAGAAGAAGUGUUCUGAAUGACGAAAAAAAAAAAGAACUGGAAAAGAUACACAACUUUGUGUGCAUGUGUCACAAUGCCAGGAGGACCCAUUCAGUGUUGUGUUAGAAAAAUUGAACUCAUUAACCCUUCAUGGACAUUAUAAAUGUUUAAAUGUUGCCUCAGGUAAAGACAGGAAAAGAGACUAUUACAAAUUCAACUGCAUCAGAGCUGGGGAAAAAAGUCGAAACAGCUACAGAGCAGUGGGCUGUAAGGCCUAUGUUUCAUUUAAAGUACUCAAAUGUUGGAAAGACCACACAGUCAUCGUGCAGCGUACAUAUGAUAAGCAUGAUGGGCAUGAUCCUUCGGACCCAAAAGACACACAUUUCAACAAUAUUUCCAGUGAUUUGAGGAGGAAGAUUGAGGAACUGCUUUCCCUUGGAACUAAGCCAGCCAUCAUACUAACCGAAUGUCAUAAAUGGGCCAAAGAACAUGGACACAGAGAUCUUCACAACAGAGAGCAUUUUGUCACACCACGUGACAUUGACAGUGUUAGAACCUGCAUGAUGAGGAAGAAGCACUUUAACUGUGGAGACAGUCAAAGUGUACAUACCUUACUUAAUGGAAAACAUCAAGAACAUGUUCUCUUCUAUCAACCAUACACAUCUGACCAAGAACUAAUGAUUGUUUUGCAGACACCUGUAAUGAAAUCAAACAUGGAGAACUAUGCAAAACAGUUAGUAUUUGUUGACACCACGCACUGCGUUAACC
ensembl:lncRNA